rnacentral:misc_RNA from 1 species
UAGGAGUUGAGGUUGUCACUUGUCCUAGCUUGUCUAUAUGGCCUUUGAUUCUGUUGAAUUAGUUCUAGUUAUUCUAUGCUCCGUUUCAUUGCACCUAGUGGCUAGUCCAUCCCUUUUUUUAGCCCUAUUUUGCCUUGUUAAAAUACUGAACUCUACUCAGCUUCAAUCCUAGGCUUGUUCGGGUUAGCUAUAUGGAUCAUUUCCUUCAUUAUGUUCAGAGAUUAAUGGUCCUUCUACACAUGGUUGCUUCAUUCAGUGAUACCAAAAAAUUUCUUGAUAAAUAUGCAGCCAUGCAUCUCAUGGACAA